CCGGCACCCCGUUUGCUCUCCUGGAUCCUGAGACGCCACCGCAGGGCUGCCCUGCGAGGUCUUUUGGAGAAAGCUGUUCUCUGUCGCCACCUGCAAUUGAAAUCAAUGGGUUCCUUGGAAAGAAGGGCCUGUGCAGGUGAAGAGCCCUGAACCUCAGCGAUCUCACAGAAGGCAGAUCUCUGAGCAGAAACUACCAGGUUUGGAAGAUGAGAAUGGAUAGAACCAAAGUCAUUGACGACAAGCUCUGCCUGGGGUCUUGCCGGCAGGACCCACGGCUGACUUUUCUCGGAGAUGUCUGUUAGGAUGAAAACCUGGAGUUCUUAUGCCAGGAAAGUCAUAGGAACAGGUCAUGAAAACUGGAUUCUAUUAAGUUAUCCAUUCCUGAACGGAAGUGCGCCUGAGAUGCUCGGAGAAUGCAGAUACACAUGGAAAACGGCCCCCUGAGACCGACCCGAGGCGCGGGGCCGGUGCUGCAGUGCUUGCUCCUGGACGCACCUCUUCUUGAGCAACAAAAUGCAAAGAACUCAUGUGAGACUAAAAGUAACUGUGUGAGCAACUAGGACAAGUUCUGGACGAACGAUAGAGACAGAAAACCAACAGCCACUUCUGAUGGGCACCGAGCAAAAGCAGGGGGCAGCGCACGCCCUCUGCACACGGCACCGCCGAGGGGCGGGCGGACCACCUGCCGCCUCCACCCGGACGCCUGCACACGCCUCCCUCUCCCCAGGAGGACCCGGCUUGCCCUGCUCCACCUGUUACCGGCCGUUGCCGUCCACUGCUGCGGCAGGGGCUCCAGGAAAACCUUGCCUGAAUUUCUUAGCUGGCAUCUGAUCAAUCUCUAUUGAUCUAGGAGGGCAAGAAGGGCUUGCCUGGCGGCUCCAUGGUAAACAAUCUGCCUGCCCUGCAGGAACCACAAGAGAUGGGGGUUCCAUCCCUGAGUCGGGAAGUUCCCUGGAGGAGGAAAUGGCCACCUACGCCAGCAUUCUUGCCCAGAAAAUCCUACGGACAGAGGAGCCUGGAGGGCUACAGUCCAUGGGGUCGCAAAGAGUUGACAUGACUGAGCAGCUGAGCACGCGGGAGGCCGAGAACCCCGGAUGGUGGCACUUCCGCAGAGAGGAGGGGCGCUCGUUAAAACAGGGCGAGGAAGUGGUGUUUGAACUAGACGCCUAAGAUGAGUAAGAUUAGGAAGCAACAGGAAUGUUAGCAUGAAGUUGUGUUCCCAUAAAAAAAAAAACUGAUGUCAAUACGUUGUAAAGAGCCCUGUGUAUGUUUAUUCCUUGUGUUAAUUUUGGGUCCCUACAGCCUAUUUGCCUUUCAAAAGGCUUCCACAUGGGCUCAUUUGUUCCUGUGUGCAACUCUGGGUGAAUGACCUUGUGACAUCAUUAUUCCUAUUUUAUAAAUGAAGCGCAGAGAGAUUUUGUGAUUUCUCACAAAGCUCUUAGUAAACAAGUCAGAGAACUGACUGGGAACUCUGUGUGUGCGUGUUUUGCCAUCUUGAGGUUGGGUGCUUUGCUCAGUACUCCGAUCAUUUUGUACCGUUCGUAUUUUCCCCCGGAAACUAUGAGCCAUGAUUAAUAAGUUGGUAUUGAUCCCAUUUAGUGCUAAAAAGGAAGUGGAAAAGCAGAGGCUGCUGCUGUCCUGUAGUCCGUUGUGUCCGACUGUCUGCGACCCCCUGGAUUGUAGCCCGCCAGACUCCUCCGUCCAUGGAUUGUCCAGACAAGAAUACUGGGUGGGUGGCCAUUUCCUUCUCCGGGGAAAGCUGUGGUAGCCCUGUAGUCAAGUUAGACGUGUGUUUUGUAACUGUUGAGAGUAUCAGAAGAAUCUGAUGGUCAUAAACAUAAACAUAAACAGCCCUUGUUAGGUGUCCAUUUUUCUAGAAGUAACAUUAGAUGUAAUAUCAAUUUGUGUGUCUCUCUGUGUGUGUCUUUAUGAAUUCAAACAUAUAUGGAGAAACAUAGAUCCGUGUUCAGCUUCGUGAAUUUCACUGAACGUACCUGUGGGGUAAACAGGCAGACAGAGACGCUGACCUUAGGGGUCACACACAGCGUCUCUGCGCUCUCCUCUCUAGGCAGCCAGUGCCCGCCGUUCUGACUUCUGACCUCACAGGCUGGUUCGCCUGUUUAUGAGCUUUAGGUGAAGGGCCUGCUCUCUGUGUCUUUCUCUGCAUCUGGUUCCUUUGCUCAUCGUGAUUGUGAGCUUUAUCCGUGUUGUUGCAUGUGGCUGUGGUUCACUGUCUCUCACUGCUGUUUCAUGUACUAUUGAUAUUUUUCUCCUACAGUGACGAGUGUUUGCUUUGGACUAUGGGAAAUAAAUGGCAUUGUGGACACUAUUAGGCUGUCUUUUGUUUUGCCUAAUUUAAAAGUCUUAUGAAAAGAGCUUUAUGAAGUAAGUUUAAAAAAAAAGCAUGUCAACUUUGUUACAAUGUUUG